UGUGGUCAGAGGAGCUUCAGUGUAGAGGCCACGAAUCUCAGAUUCAUUUCUGUCCAACACCAUCUUCACUUAAACACAACUGCUCCCAUGACAGUGAUGUGGGUCUAGUGUGUGCUGACAGUGUGAGAUUGGUGGAUGGUGGCAGUCGCUGUGAUGGGAGAGUGGAGGUUCUACAUAGAGGACAGUGGGGAACAUUGUGUGAUAAUAGCUGGGAUAUGAGUGAUGCUGCAGUGGUGUGUAGAGAGCUGGGAUGUGGGGAGGCUCUACAUGCACUGAGCAAUGCUUAUUUUGGACCAGGAUCAGGACCAAUCUGGAUGGAUGAUGUGUAUUGUAGUGGAUCAGAGUCUACACUGAAGAACUGUAUUUCUCCAGGAUGGGGUAAACAUGACUGUGAUCAUAAUAAAGAUGCUGGAGUCAUUUGUUCAGAAAGAAUCAGGCUGGUUGGUGGUUCUCACUGUUCU